rnacentral:misc_RNA from 1 species
AAAUGCUUUCAAUUCAGUAAUUCAUAUUACUUCAAUCCAUUGCAAAGUCUUUAAUAAAAGAAAAUCCAAAACAAAAGCAACCAAUCCCUAAAACUCUCCACAGUUAUGAAGAUGAUAAAUUGAAACUAUAGCAGACAAGAAUUAGAUUUCAAAUGUUUGAUUAUAUGCAACGUAUUAAAAGCAGUAACAUCACCAAAAAUCA